AACGCUUCAUAUGGAAUUUCAUACGCUUCCCAUUCCAAUAAAUUGAUUUGGCACCGCUUCAACCAUAACAUCUUGAAAUCUACCCUUUGAAUUCAAUUCUCACUUCUUCCCAUCCAUACUCUGUUGCAAAUUUCUUCUCUUUUUCCAAUCCCAUUUCUCUUUUCCCGUCCCUAUUCAUCUACAAAUGGGUUUCUCUAUGCAAAUCCUUCAACUCUAAUUUAUCUUCUCCCAAUAUCUAAUCAAUUCAUCAUCAAUGUCAAUUCUUCAAUUUUUUAGAUAAUUUAUUUCGAUUUUUGUUGAUUACUGGUUAGUUUACCUAUAUAAAUAUGAUCAAUUUCUUCUCCCAAUUCACACCUUUUUAGACUACAUCAGACUUUUGCAAUGGCUGCUUGAAGCCGCGACUUAGUUGUAUUAUGGGAUUACCAAAUAAAAAUAUCUAAACCCAAACCACUUCUUAGGCCUAUCAUCAGAAAGAAUAGAGUCUCUCCAACAACUUGGACUCUUAUAUUGAUUCCACUAUUCAAUAUGUGUUUGUUGUCUUAGUGCUGAUGAAAUGAAGAGGGCAUGCUAAAGUGAGUCUUAUACCUAACAGACAGCAUGCUAAUGAAGCACUUUCUUCAUAUAAGAUGGAGGAGCCUCUAGAGAAAGAUAAUUAUAAAGUGAAGAUAAUAAAUAAAAAUUCUGAAUAGGAGGAUAUGAACAGGAAUGGGAGGCUAUUGCAGUCAAGCAAGAUCGAUCUAAUGAGAACCAAUCGAGGAUGAAAAUAUCAAUUCCAUUAAUGCAUUCUCUAUAUAUAAUCUCAUUUCUAUUUAGAGCGUGUGAAGAAGUUCGCUGAGUUUGAUGUUAUGUACUUGAUAAGAAGAUUUUCCAUAAACUUGCAUAAAGAUUAUUUGAAAAGAUAGAUUUUUUAUGGAUGUGUUAGUCCAUUUGAUCUUUAAGUCCCCACCAAUGUAGUUGUGUUUUAUCCCCACCCUUUCCUUUUGGUUACAGUUAUUUUCUAGAAAAUGAAUUAUCAGUGUAUAAAAUGGAGUAAAUUAUGGAGGGGAUUAAACUGUAAAAUUAAUAGAACACAAAAAACACUAUAAUGAAAAGUGAUCUAAAUGCAGUUAUGGUCCCUUAAUCAUUACGAUUUUUCUUUCUGUUACCCUAUUGUUCUUUCUGUUACCCUAUUGUUGUUAUCUUACUUUACGUGGUUUUGUCCCAUUCAAUUGGAUCUUAAGUUAAGAAUAUAUAGGAUGGAAAUAAUUUUUAAUAUUUUAUCAAUUUCGGGUAGGAAGUAUAGUUGAUAUUCUUGGGAUAGCCAUUGUCAAAUUUUAUAUCUACUCUAGAAUUGUAACAUGUGAUGCAGGGAUUUCAAAGUAAUUGAGAUAAUCGUGAAAGUAAGAUAAUCCUGUUUGCAAGGCGAUAUUGUUCCCUCUUAUUAAGAUCAAUCUAAAUGAGCGAUUAAAAUAAUAGAAUUGUCUAUUUAAU